rnacentral:ncRNA from 1 species
CUGUGGAAAGCCUCAGCUGCGCGCGUCUGAGGGCUUCGUGCCAAAGUGCUAUGCUCGGCCGGCAAAAAACAGUCAACUCAGAACUGGCACGAACCGGGGGAAUCCGACUGUCUAAUUAAAACAAAGCAUUGCGAUGGCCGCUGGUCGGUGUUGACGCAAUGUGAUUUCUGCCCAGUGCUCUGAAUGUCAACGUGAAGAGAUUCAUCAAAGCGCGGGUAAACGGCGGGAGUAACUAUGACUCUCUUGCUGCAGAGUACAACGCUGCAAUCUCCACACAUAGAGUGAAGGCCCGUUGGAGCACGGAGGAGAACACUCUGCUAGCAGAACUGGAAGCACACCUCACUGUUACUGAGAACCCUA